UUCCACACCCUGGUGGUCCUGGGCUGGCCCCACGUGAAGGAGCUGCUGCCUCAGAGGAAUCCUUCCCUCCACGUCGCGUCCCUGACCAGGCAGCUGCAGCACUGUAUGGCGGGCCACCAGCUGCUGCAGUUCAAGGGCUCCACACUGGCCUUGGUCAUCAUCACCUUAGAGCUGGAGAGGCUCAUGCCCGACUGCUGCGCUCCUAUCUCUGAUCUGCUAAAGAAAGCACAGGUUGGCAUUAGGCAGUGGAACCGCUGCAAAGAACUUGUAAAGCAGCAGCUGAUACGUGUGUAGUCACCUUCCUGCACAGACAACGUUCUGUUUCACCUGCCAGCCCCUGUGCCCCUACCCCCGUGCCCUUGAGAGCAUAAUGGCAAUCCCUCCUUGCAUGGACUCCUCUAUAUUCAUGGCUUUAUGGAUCCUAUAACAAAGGAAGAAGGCCCUGAAAGAGAAACUGAGAAAAUGUUCCUGAAUCUUGAGAAAAAAAAAUAAGGGGGCAAAAAAGAUGGGUCUGGGUCCUUAAAGGGAAAGGGAGUCUGACAGAUUGAACCCCUGCCUCCCUUGCCACUCUGGGUCCCAGGGAGAAGGAAUAAAUGCUCCUGCUGCA